rnacentral:lncRNA from 1 species
AGAGGACAAACCUGGGUAGGGAUCUCUAUGAUGUUUUCUGCGUUGCCCGUGGACGUUCAUCUUUCUGAUUUGUUAGCUGAAGAUGAGGAUCUGGAGCAGGAGCUCGGAGUGCCAUUGUUCCAUGGGCAGAUGUGCAGCAGAGAUUGUUGAGCUUGCCUGGCCCAAGGCACAGAGUUCUGGGAAGGAUGGAAGAGAGGGGAAGGGAGAGCACCAACAUCACGGACCGCCUUUCACAUCAGCGGCAGCAGCAGUAAAACCCCCAGAAAACCUGGGGUAGGCGUGGGGGUCUGUUUAGAUCAGCCCUGGAGGCAGCCUCCCAUGUCCCUCCUGGACAUUUGUUCACCUUCACAGAACCCACUUCUUUCCCAUCGUCUGUUCGGAUAUCUGUUUCCUGCACCGGGCAGGUAGCACAGCACACUCAGGGGUUUCUCUGACUCACCUUGGCAGCCCCAGCCCUCAGCACACUGCCUACCACUUAGUAUUUAGAGAACCUAUGCCCUUUGAAAAAAGUAGGUAAAUAGUAAAAUAUUAUUUUUACCAUUGGAACAAACACAAUUAUAUGCUUGAUGAAAUUCAAACAGUACAAAUGCAAGAAAAAAAAGGCUUGUUAGGUACAAAUAUUGGAAGAAAAGAGCUUGGGGCCAGAAGUGACCCCAGACAGAUGGGCUGGGAAAGAAGGGCUUUACAGGGACCUCAGUGGCACACAGGGCCUAGACCCAGAGAUGGGGCCUUCUUGACAGGACACCUCUGUCCAAGGGCAUGGGUUGCGCUCAUGUCUCUGUAACAUAUUUCAAAAAGGAUGCAAAGAAACCCAACUUUUCCGGAGAAAGUGGCAAAAAUAAUGAAGAGUGGUUGACCAGAAGGCUUAGGGCCCUGGGACUGUGUUGCUAGAGAGUAAGAACCACCUGUCCUUGAGCAAACCAAACUGGCUUUGAUCUUCUGCCCUUCUCUGUAGAGGACUGAGCAGGAGGAAAUAAGAAUUACAUGAAGAGCUUCCUAGGGAGCUUCCGGAAGAAAAUCUUAGUCCCCUGCCCUGGACACUUUCGCCAGUCAAGGGCAGAAGGUGGCUAAACAAUAGGACGGUUGAGUAUCCCUUAUUCAUAGUGCUUAGGACCAGAAGAGUUUUGGAUCAUGAAUUUUUUUGGAGCAUUUCAGAUUUUCACAGCCGCAGGUAGGGGGACAGGUUGAUGAAAGCCCCGCUGUGUCCCGUGAUUUGUGACAGAUAUCUGUUUUCUUCCUCAUUCCAAUGCAUCAUCUUGGAUUUUGGAAUAUUUGCAUUAUACUUAUCAGUUGAGCAUCACAAAUUCAAAAAUCCAAAAUCUGAAAUGCUCCAAAUAAGAAUUUCCUUUCAGCCUCAUGUCGGCAUUCAAAAAAUUUCAAAUUUUGGAGCAUUUUGGAUGUCAGAUUUUCAGACUUGAGGUGCUCAGCCUGUACAGGUUAUUCAGGCUCCUGAAUUCUGUGAUUGCUUUUUUUUUUUUUCUAGAGCAAAGUUCCAUAAAGAGCAGAUGGAGAGGUGUUGAUUAGCAAUCAAUUAAUUAGUUGAUAUUUAUUGGACCCUUAACUCUGUGUCAGGUAUGGCUCUAAGGGCUUGUAAAAGCAUCAAAUCAAUUUAUCCAGGCCUCAUACUGCCCACUCCAGCAUGUACUAUUAUAUUAUUAGCCCAUUUUAUAGAUGAGGAACCUGAGGAAUAGCAGUGUUGAAUCACUUGCCCGACGUUGUAUUUCUUGAGUAUGAUUGUAGGUAUUAGACGGGGUUCUGAAACAGGGCAAGGAUGCAAUUGAAAUAAAGAAGGAAACAGAUACCUGUCACAAGUCACUGGAUACAGCUGAGCUUCUAUCAACACAACUCAAGUGUGUGCAUCUGGUACCUGUCAAGUUAGAGAAAUUGGUUGUUGUACAACAUGACCUCAUAAUCAAAAUAUUGUAUCAGAGUGCCUGCUGGUAGCAGAUAUCCAAACUUCUCUUGUCUCUUGUUCAAGAUCAAUUGUCUCCUAGCUCAUUUGAUUCAGUUUGGAGAUCAUUUGGUUCCAUGGACAACCUCUAUUGGUGUUAUAUCUGGGGAAGUGCUUGCCUUGGUCCUGGACUUGAUACCACUAAAGCUGAUAAUGAGAACAGAGUAGGGUUCUAUUAGGUGAGAGCAAGGGUUCAGAUGGGAGCAUGUUAGGAAGCCCCCCAUCUCUUCCAGCACUUGCCUCAUCCAGCCUUAGCUGGAGCUGCAGAUGCACCUGCUGGUGACACUCAAGCACCACCCGGUGUGGCCUGCAAGGCCCUGUCAGGGUGGGCUCUCCUUCCUGUCUUGCCAGCAUCGUCACACAGCUAUGCCCUGUGUUCAUCUGGCAGUGGCAUGCUAGCUGCAUUUCCAGGCUCAGCUAUGUCUCCUCCUGCCUCAGAGCCUCUGCAUGCAUGUGCUCCUGCCGGGAAUUUUCUUGCCCCGGUUCUUCCUGUGGCUGGCUCCCUGCCAUCCUCCUCCCUGCCAUCCUCUGCUCUAUUCAAGUGUCACCUUCUUAGACGUGCCUUUCCUUAUAGCCCCCGAGUGAUGGCCUCUCCUCCCCAAGUCACACUCUACACUUGCUUUAUUUUCUUCUUACCUUGUAUUGAAAUUUGAAAUUGUCAAGUUCACUGAUUUACUUGUUUAUGAUUUGUCACCUUUCACUAAAAUGUAGGCUCCAUGAAGGCAGAGCCCUACCUCUCCUAUUUACUGGUCUAUGCUCAAGUCCAGGAAUAGUAUUUUCUCAAUAAAUAUUUAAUGAAUUGACAGAUGAACUGGUGAUGAAGGUUCUAGUUAAAAAACAAAAAAGAAAAGUGGUAUUUUGGUAAAAAAAACAAAACAAAAUGAAACAAAAUAACACAAACAACUCUGAUUUGUAGUGUUGGCCAAUUUCCAUGGUGUAAAUAUUCUUAUCAUAGUCAUUAGUAGCUUCAAAUUUACACCACAGAAAUCAGACAAUACUACAGCAUGCAGUUAUUUUCUGUUUGUAUUAACAGUUGGGGCCUAUUAAACUAGCAGAUUUAGGCAAAAUGGUGAUGUGAGUUUAUCCAGGCUGGUGGGGAUUUAGAAGUUAAAGAUCAAUAGCCAGAUAUGGUGGCACAUGCUUGUCAUCCCAGCUACUUGGGACGCUGAGGCACGAGAAUCGCUUGAGCCUGGGAGGUAGAGGUUGCAGUGAGCUGAGAUGGUGCCACUGCACUCCAGCCUGGGUGACAGAGCAAGACUCCAUUCCAAAAAAUAAAUAAAAUAAAAUAAAACAAACUUAAAGAUCAAGAAUUGUCAAGAAAAACCAAUGUAAAGCAUUUCCUGUCAUGCUUUCUGUAAGCAUUUCAUGUAGAUGAUGUCUUCCAAUCUCCCAGGACUCUAGGAGUGAGAUAUUCUCAUUCUCAUUUUAUAGGUGAGUUACUGAGAUUCAGAGAGGCUAGUAACAUGCACGUGUUCACAUGGUUGGUUAGGAAUGAUACUGGGAUCUCUUUGGAAGCCUUGAUACUGGUCCAGUUGAUGAAAUACUCCCUGGUCUGCCCAUAUUUAUAAAAUUUUUAUGAGACCUAGAUGCUACAGGAGGCCUCCCUCCAACUCCCAGGUAAAGCUAUGUGAUUUGAUUCCAUGCUCCAGUUCCAGGGUCCAUGAAAUUUCUGCUGAGAGGCACAGUUCAUCCUGUUAGGCCAUGGAGUGUGGUGGGAUGGUGGGCAGGUUUGCAAGUGCUGGGGUUAUACUGUCUAGGUUUCGAGGCUGAUUUCUGACUUACAAGCUGAGUGGUGUUAGGUGAGAUUCUCAAUGGCUUGGCAGCCUCAGUUUUCUCAUUAGUUAUAUUAAGAUAACAUUGGCUUCUCCCUCUUAGGAUUGGUGUGAGAAUGACAGACGUGAUUGCAUAUAAAGUGAAUAGCAGUGCCUUUCCUAGACUAACUGCUCAAUACAUCUAAGCUACUAUUUUAUUAGAGAAUACGCUUUAUAGCUUUAUUGUGUUCUUGGGCUUUCAUCCUAACUGUAUGCUUUCUUCAAAAUAAAAAAGU